GUCGACGAUUACUCCUACGGGAGGCAGCAGUAGGGAAUAUUGGGCAAUGGAGGAAACUCUGACCCAGCCAUGCCGCGUGAAGGAUGAAGGUCCUACGGAUUGUAAACUUCUUUUAUUAGGGAAGAAACGUCUCGAUUCAUCGGGAUUUGACGGUACCUAAGGAAUAAGCACCGGCUAACUCCGUGCCAGCAGCCGCGGUAAUAAUCUCUAGA
rnacentral:rRNA from 1 species